AGAUGACGACCAUGAUGAUGAUGAUGAUGAUGACGAUGAUGAUCAUGUUGUUGUUGUUUUGUUGUCAUUAUCGUCCUCAUCGUCAUUAUCAUCAUCACAU
rnacentral:pre_miRNA from 1 species